rnacentral:tRNA from 1 species
CCCUGGUUAGCUCAGUUGGUAGAGCGCUCCACCUGUAAUGGAGAGGUCCCGGGUUCGAUACCCGGACCAGGCU